AUUGAACGCUGGCGGCAUGCUUUACACAUGCAAGUCGAGCGGCAGCGCGGGGGCAACCCUGGCGGCGAGCGGCGAACGGGUGAGUAAUGCAUCGGAACGUGUCCGGGAGUGGGGGAUAACGCCGCGAAAGCGGCGCUAAUACCGCAUAUUCUCUGAGGAGGAAAGCGGGGGACUCGCAAGGGCCUCGCGCUCGCGGAGCGGCCGAUGUCCGAUUAGGUGGUUGGUGGGGUAAUGGCCUACCAAGCCUGCGAUCGGUAGCUGGUCUGAGAGGAUGAUCAGCCACACUGGGACUGGGACACGGCCCAGACUCCUACGGGAGGCAGCAGUGGGGAAUUUUGGACAAUGGGGGCAACCCUGAUCCAGCCAUGCCGCGUGCGGGAAGAAGGCCUUCGGGUUGUAAACCGCUUUUAGCCGGGAAGAAAAGGCCACGGAUAACACCCGUGGUUCUUGACGGUACUGGCGGAAUAAGCACCGGCUAACUACGUGCCAGCAGCCGCAGUAA
rnacentral:rRNA from 1 species